AUCUUGGACUUGUCAAACUUGCAUUUGCCAUCACUCCCAGUGUAAGGGUAAUCCUUCUCACUCUCAAGGCCACCGGCCUUCUGGAGAUAACUGAAUGCCGUCGUCAUUAGCCCACCAUUGCAACCCGAAUCACAUGAAUCAGGCUCCGAUGAAUCACACUGCAACAUUCACAACAGGAAUGGGGGAUAGUAAGUUUGAAUUAAUGUGAGCUAAAUAAGGUAACAGUUAACUUCAAGACAACUAUGCAAAUCCUACUGUCCAAAACCUACAAAUAUAUGGGUCCCGUCUCAUGGCAUUAGCUUCACACAUGUGCAAUACUCAUGCACUGCAAAAUCACUGUCACAUUCAAGAUAAAUUAGCAAAAGCCUCAUGCAAAAUGAAAAAUUUACAUCACUGGAUCAGAUAUUGGUUAUAUGAUAUCAUAGUUAUUAAGGCGGUACGAUGAGAUGUGGCGAGCCACCCUUUUGAGUCGACUACGCGACACCUAGGCAAUCAUAAGGCGAGGUGAGGCAACGCCAUAAGAAUAUGAACUUCAGUACUGCAUUGUGGAGAAGGUACGAAAACGAAAAGAAAAAAUAGAAGGGGAAGAAACUCAGGAAGUCCAGUCCAAAAGACCACCUAACAACCCAUAUAACCUUCCCUAAGCACGACCUAGUGAUGUCACUCUCCGGAGACCCUUCCAUCAGGUGCCACCUCUCUCCCUCCCUCCUCCCCCUUUCUUUAUACAUCCCCCUACCCCCUCCCGUUCACAUCUGUUGCUGCCGCCAUCACCUCUCCUCCAGUCCUUGCCGCUUCCCCUCCCCUUCCCCCAUGCUGGUGCCGCCCCCUUGCGAUGACUUGAAAACCAUGUACAGUGAAAUUGCAUCUUGCUGAUGAAUGUAGCGAUAGUCUAUGCAUAUAACGAUGAUUCAAAAACUUUGCAUUCAAAAUAGCCAAAUAAUGUUCCAGAAGAUUGUCAAAAACGCCUACCCAGGCUGAAUAAUGGAUGGUUAUUACAAUAGUAAGCCAACUCAUUGCAAUCCCAUGUUCCUAGGAGCAAGCCCCACUCAGAUAGUCAGCUGUUCAAGAACAAACCUAACUAUAGAACUGACACAUGAGAAAUGAAAUGUCAAAUCCUAGGAUGUACAAUAUUAUCACCAUGCUUUUGUUCAAAUUAUACCCCACUGUUCGGAACUUAUGAAGUCAGAUUCCACAAGGCCCCGAAGGCUCACAGGUUCCGAACCAUAAGAGCUUAGUUGUGAAGACAAGAUGUAUGAUCUACAAAGACUAUAACUCUAUAAGACAUACAAAUAACGCCAGCAGCUCCAUGGUCAAGUGAAUCAACCUACUCUAUCAGUAAACUAAGACAGUAAUUUGUUAUCCAAACUUGAAUCACUGUGGAUUCACCCCUCAAGGAGUAAGCAACUCCAAGAGCCUCACUAUAUCCUUAUGUCAAUUAGAUCUCCAAAUAUUGUUAUCAUCUAUUCCUUAUUUCUAGCUAGCUAGACAAAGAUGGAGAACGGGCAGGCAACCACAAAGUGUGCAGAAGAUGAUGAAAGGUGAGUUUUAAAAAAGAUGGUCGGAGAUGCUCUACCAUCUCAAUAUUGUACCACUCUUUUAGCCGCUAAUUUUAUUUUGAAAAAUUAUCAUGAAACCUUUCCAUUCUUCCAAACCCCCGUUUUCCUACUCAGACUCACGGUAGGUGCACCACUGCCCAAUCGGAAAGGAGGAAAAUAGGAAAAGGACAUCACACUAGCUUACAAAACAUGGGCUAUGGCCGGAAACCCAGCCUUCCUAGCACAUGUGACCAUGAACCAAUCCCAUAAAAAAGUACGAUAAUAGUAAGAAAACUAUGAAUUUAAUCUAUGGAUGAAAGAAAAGGGCAGUUUCCUUCCUCACCUCGUGGUCACAGUCGACGAACUGCUGCUCCGAAAGCACCUCCAGCUUGCCAGUUGCGAGGUAGUGCGCACCCUCCAGCGCUCCAGACGCGCUGAACGACCAGCACGACCCGCACGAACCCUAAACAACAGCCGGGGAAAGGAAAUUUAGGACCCAAACAGAUCGCUGAGUACUAUGAAAGAACUGCUCCGAUCUGUGGAUCCAUGGUCAACAGAUUGGAAACCGACCUGGUUCUUGACGGGGCCGACGGCGCCGUGGUCCCUCCAGUCGAAAUCGUCGGGGAGACCAUCGGUGGGGAGCACGGGCGCCUCGUGCGCCGACUCCCCGAGUUCUCUGAGGAGAGCGCGCCGGGACUUGCGGAGGCCGAGGUAGGUCCGGCGGAACUCUGCCGGCGUGAGGUCGGAGAACUUAGUGACGCCGUGCUCCGCCGACGGGUCCAGCAGCUGGUGCCGGCGCGCGCGGCGCAGGUUGGCCUUGAAAACGGACAGCCGGUACGCG
rnacentral:lncRNA from 1 species